UGGGUAACCCACCCCGAUGAUUGGGACAACCCGAGGAAACUCGGGCUAAUACCAAAUGUGCUCGUAGACCAUGAGGUCCAUGAGUAAAGAUAGCUUCGGCCUUCGCAUCGGGACGGGCCCGCGGCCCAUUAGCUUGUUGGUGAGGUAACGGCUCACCAAGGCAAAGAUGGUUAGCUGGUCUGAGAGGAUGAUCAGCCACACUGGAACUGAGACACGGCCCAGACUCCUAGGGAGG
rnacentral:rRNA from 1 species